UGACAGAGAGAUUGCAGAGGCAGGACGGAUCCCCGCCCCCAGCGUCACCCCCAUCAAAGACUCCUGCCAGGAAAAUGACACACACACAGAACCUCUAUACACCGCUGUUGAUGAGUUGGAGAGCCCAGAUUCCAGCAAGCUAGAAGAGUUUGUGGCCCUGUUCACC